UAAUAAUAAUUGUCUCCUUACCUCAUGAUCAUGGGUUUCAUGCUGCACCUUGUCACUUUAGCUGCUGCAGGUUAGCUGACUACAGCAUCAUAUCAGACAAACACCAGCAGCCACAGGACGAUAUUUACAAGUGCAGUGUGUCUAGUUUCUACAACUAAAGACUUAAAAACAGAGAAUCACCUGUUUACAACGUGAGUGAGUUACACUGGGAAUUAGCCGACGAGCUAACUUGAACUCUCCUUCCUGAUACAAUAAAACCACAACAAAUCUGCUACGGCGGCUCGGGAGGGACAAAACUCAUAAAUCCAGCUCGGGGGCUAUUUCAGCCGCACCGUCAGUGACUAGCUAAAGCUAAUUGCCCGGCUAGCUACUGCACACAGGUCACCUGGACUUUGAUCACAAUGGGGGUGAAAGACCGCCCUCAGUGUUACUUUGAUGUGGAGCUCAACAGGGAGCCAGUUGGGCGCAUUGUCUUUCAACUUUUUUCGGAUAUUUGUCAACGACGAGCAAAA